UUCCCUAGAGCUCACUGCAGUGGUGGCAUCUUCAGGCAGCGGUGGCGUCAGCGGGCACUUGCAGGGCUGUACCUUUACCACGACCCAGUGUGCGCGCGUCAUUAACGUCACGCACUCCAAAUCGCCUUUGCGUUGCUGUAUCCGUGUGCACAUUUAAAUGGCUAAGGGGGACAAUAUUUACUGCGUCUCACACUGAUAAGCCCUCUACUUAGGCGGCCCGUGGUCAUUAAAAGCGUUAAAUAAGAGAGCCAUUACGGGGCUCCAUAUUGGAGCGCAUUGCGCAGAGGGCCUUGUUAGGGCACGCGUAAUUGCAGGGACAGGAUUGAGUGGUGCGACUGAUAUCCACGGGACAGAGAGGCGGGCGGCAAUGCGCGCAGGGCCUCUUGCGAGGCCCGAGGAUAAUAAGUAGCCUCAAUUCUCUGGCCCGCUGUGAGGCGUCGCUAUCCCUGAAUGCUAAACUCGGAGCUGUUUUCCGUUGUAUUCUUUUUUCUCCAUCUCCCGUCUCUGUCUCUCGCUCUAUUUCUGCUCAGGCAGCGAGCGUAGACAAAGACGAUUUUAGUUUUUUUUUAUAUACACACGUUCUAACGCCUCAUAAGAAAUAACAGUGCAUGGAGGCUGGAGUAAAAAAAUGCAGCCACAAUGUUAGCCCGUUUUUUUUAGUUCAUGCACGAGUAUUCUCCACAACGACGCUGAUGACUAAUUCCGUGCCUUUGCCUCUGCAUAUUUGGUAGCCGGGCAGUGGCUGGGGCAUCACCAGCACUGAGGCGGGGGUUGGUGGGUCACGUAAACGUUGCGAAUCUCCCCUCGCGUGGCCGUCCUGGAGCCCAUUCCCAGCCUCCACUUGGAGGCUGUGAGCACAACUCCUGCUUGCAGGUAAAGUCCACAGAGGCAUGAACUUUUAUGUUCAGAAGCGACCUAGCCACGAUCGCGUGCUGCCACAGGGGUCCUGGCCAUCGCGGAGUUGGCAUGAGCUGCACGGAACGGAAUCGGGGCCCCAGUGUCCAAUUACUCCUCCGAGUCGCACCUCUGCGCCCGAGGCGCUCCGUGCAGCUGUACCGCAGCCCGCACUCGACACGCUACGCGCGUGGGUCCUGUGUGCGUGACGUCAUUUAUGGACGGCCCCUAAGUCCAGCGGAGAUGCCGCACACCGCGAGGGAGGAGACGUGUGGUGGACUGCGGUUCGAAGAUGGUGGCGGUAUCGACUGUGUUGUCAUGGUCGACGUCGUUCUACGCACCCACGCGCUACAGCCACCGUGGGAGUUGUUGAGUUCGUGGCGGCCUGCUGCCUGCAACCGCGGUUUAUGAGAUGCCCUCUGGGAUAUGGCGAGGAGCGGCAGUCAUAGUUAAUUUAUAGUUUCAUAGUUUCAUUUAUUAGGUAUAGCCCUGUGAGCCAUUCGGCUCUUGAAUCGCGUGCAACCGCAACAAACAAAAAAACAUGAACAAGAGAAACAUGAACAGUCGCGCCCCUGCGUGCCAAUGAACGCCCACGCGUCCGCUCCCCGUUGCUUUCAUUACGCGGAACCACGCCAGUAGCCACGUCUCUGCUACCCAAUGCAUCGUGCCAGCAAACAUUUGUAUAUAUGGAUAACGAAAAUUUUGACUGAAUAUAAAUUAAGUUGUCUCAUCAUGCGUUUUGAUUGGAAGGGUUUGCCGCAUCUCCGAUUAGCGCGGUCGGUUACGUAUGGUGUGAAAGAAGUUCAACCUGCGUACAUCGUUCGGUACUCAAGAGCUGCUUAAUAUUUUUUUUAUUAGAUUCUCAUCAGGCUCCAUUGCGUUAAGUGCUGACUCCAAGCGCCGUUCACUCUGUCCCUCUGGCCUCUGUUCAUGCGCUAUGAACGAGAGACCCUGAUACAAAAACGUUGCCAAAUAUAUAUUUAUUUUAUUCUGCUACACAUCAUUUUAAGGUCACAGUGUUGUUGAUGAGUGCGUUGAGCUUUUUGUUACCCAGGGUUUGUGCCCAGGUUGGAUUAAUACAAUAAUAAAUAUUAGUUUGGUGUGAGCUAAACCUAGCAUGCGUUAAACCUUUUCUUGAUUUUUUUUAAGUUUCCACGAAUUGCAUCCCGAUUGUGCUCUUGCUGUCAUGACGAAUUCCAUCCCAGAAUCCUCCCAGAGCCGUGCAACCUGUCCUGUUCAGAGAGGCUCGCGACCGGCUCAGAUAACCUGCACCCGUGUUGGCCCUGAGCGGGAAUCGAACUCGGGCCUCGGCGUUCAUCGUACGGCACGACAACCGUUACGCCGCCACUCCGUGUACAACACGCGCUGCAAUAAGGCGCAAGUCAGAAUCCGCUGUCCUGUGGCCUCUUGGAAGCCAAACUCAAACCCCGUGCUUCGGGCUUGCCACUCAGGAGAAGGUUAACAGUUAUAUUGGAUUCCACGGGAUUUCUUCCGCCCGUGGUUGACGAAAUGUCAGUGGCCUGCGCAGAGAUUGAGAGAAGGCUCGCUUGCCCUUAAACGAGCAUCCCUCUAUUUUUUUUUGGGGGGGAGGGAUUUUUGUUUUCGUUUUAAACUGAACCCUCUACUGCAGUGGUACCCAUUAUUGUUUUAGCUGAAGGCUCCGUGAUGGAAAACAGGGCAGGCUGCCCUUUAUCAAAUCUGAUUGGAAAUCUCGUGGCCAGGAAUCGCUAGGGUGCUUGCUUGCUUGCUGCUGUUGUUUCUGUUGCUGAUGUGAGGCUGCAAGGCGCCCAAGAGAUGGCGGUGCUGCGUACCACCACUCACAAUCAGAAUAUUGAUUUAUACUGGAGGAAUCGGAUGAGCUAUUAAGCUCUUUUUCACGUGGUGGGGUUUUCCUCCGAGGUGUCUCCGAUUUAUUUCAAUCGUUGAAUAUCCCAGCUCCUAAUGCGUGUGUAAAUAAUAAAUACUCGUCUUUUUCCCGUCCAAGGACGGGUGUAUUGCAGUAAAUCUGAACCUUGCAAGCGAAAAGCAGACC